UACGAAGGGGGCUAGCGUUGCUCGGAAUGACUGGGCGUAAAGGGCGCGUAGGCGGUUUUGACAGUCAGAUGUGAAAUUCCUGGGCUCAACCUGGGGGCUGCAUUUGAUACGUAUGGACUGGAGUGAGGAAGAGGGUCGUGGAAUUCCCAGUGUAGAGGUGAAAUUCGUAGAUAUUGGGAAGAACACCGGUGGCGAAGGCGGCGACCUGGUCCUUUACUGACGCUGAGGCGCGAAAGCGUGGGGAGCAAACAGG
rnacentral:rRNA from 1 species